AAUAUUGCACAAUGGAGGAAACUCUGAUGCAGCGACGCCGCGUGAGUGAAGAAGGUCNNNGGAUCNUCAAACUCUGUCCUUGGNGACNAAAGAAAUGACGGUAGCCAAGGAGGAAGCCCCGGCUAACUACGUGCCAGCAGCCGCGGUAAUACGUAGGGGGCGAGCGUUGUCCGGAUUUACUGGGCGUAAAGGGUGAGUAGGCGGUGAUAUGUGUCAGAUGUAAAAGGCUAUGGCUUAACUAUAGUUAGCAUUUGAAACUGUAUUACUUGAGUGCAGGAGAGGUAAGUGGAAUCCCUAGUGUAGCGGUGAAAUGCGUAGAUAUUAGGAGGAACACCAGUGGCGAAGGCGACUUACUGGACUGUAACUGACGCUGAGUCACGAAAGCGUGGGUAGCAAACAGG
rnacentral:rRNA from 1 species